rnacentral:rRNA from 1 species
UAGCGUAGGGUGCAAGCGUUGUCCGGAAUUAUUGGGGCGUAAAGAGCUCGUAGGCGGUUUGUCGCGUCUGCUGUGAAAACUCGGGGCUUAACUCCGGGCCUGCAGUGGGUACGGGCAGACUAGAGUGCGGUAGGGGAGACUGGAAUUCCUGGUGUAGCGGUGAAAUGCGCAGAUAUCAGGAGGAACACCGGUGGCGAAGGCGGGUCUCUGGGCCGUAACUGACGCUGAGGAGCGAAAGCGUGGGGAGCGAACAGG